ensembl:lncRNA
AUGGGGAUGCAGUGUGUUUACAACCGAAUGACUGCGAUGUCUAAACUAAAGAGGAAGAAAUCAGCGAUUGACGAGAGUAAAUGCGAGCAGCAGACGACGAAGAAAAAGUCAAAUGGCAGUCUGAGUUCAGAACAGGACAGCAGCUGCAGCAAAACAUCUACAGGCAGGGCGAGAUGGUGGGAGAGUUCUGAAUUAAGUGACGUGGAGAAACUCUGGGCUCUUACCUUGAGAGCUUUUUGCCCAGCCCUGCAGUCUGAUCAGGAAGAAUGUAUUCCACAGCUCCCCCCACCCUCAUCCACGAAAACUCCUGUACAAAAAGUAAGUGAUUGGAGGGGGUGCAGUGCAGAUGAAGAUGUUAAUCUCCCUCCAGAUUUGCCUGCUCCGUCUUUCCUCAACAACCCACAACCAGUGAAUGAGGUCAAGAACCCCUCACAACCUCCAGCAGCAGAGAACAUGGGAGAAUGUAGUCCACCAACCAUCGCUGAUCAAGAGAAUCAUGCAUAUUUACCUGAUCAGGAGAGUGUGUCAGUAUGUGACGUACAAACUGCUCAGCAGCGCCACCUAGAAGACAAAGUCAGUUGCGUUGAGGGUCAUGUUUUGUCAGACGAACAGAGUGACAAAUUUGACCAAGUGGGGAAAGUCUCAGAAAGGCAAGAAGUCACAAGAGGAUCUGAAGCAGGAUUGGAUGUGCAGUCUGGAGCAGGGAAAGGGGCAAAAACAGGUGCAGGAGGAUCUGGAUCAUGGUUAAGAACAAUAUCUGAAGCAGAAGUAUCGGUAUCAGGCAUGGGAACAAAACAAGGAGCGGGUGGAUCUGGAUCAGGACAGAAAGCAAAAUCUGGAGCAGGAGGGUAUGGAGCAGGUCAGCGAGCAAAAUCAGGAGUAAGAGGAUCUGGACUGGUGCUGGGAGCAACAUCUGGAGUGGGAUUGGAUGCAGAAUCUGGACUAGGGAAGGGGGUAAAAACAGGUGCAGGAGGAUCUGGAUCACGGCUAAGAACAAUAUCUGAAGCAGUUUCAAGCAUGGGAACAAAACACGGAGCAAGUGGAUCUGGAUCAGGGCAGAGAGCAAAAUCAUGGCUAGGAGGAUUUGAGUCAGGGCUGAGAACAAAUUCAAGAGAAAGUGGAUCUGGAUUGGGGCAGGGAACAAAAUCUGAAUUAAAUUUGGGGAAAAAAUCAGGAACAGAAGAAUCUGGAGCGGCAUCUGGAUCAGGACUUGGAAAAAAAUUAAUAGCAGAAGGAUCCGGAACAGCAACUGGAACAGGACUGGGAACAAAAUCAGGAGCAGAAGGAUCUAGAGCAGCAUCUGGAUCAGAACUGGGAACAACAUCAGGAACAGUAGGAUCUGGAGCAGCAUCUGGAUCAGGACUGGGAACAACAUCAGGAACAAAAGGAUCUGGAGCAGCAUCUGGAUCAGGACUGGAGUGCUGCCCAAUGUGUCUGAUGCCAUUUCCUGCAGGGUUCACCCAAAUGCAAUGUGAUGGUCAUCUUGCACAAUGUCUAUCAGAGAUCAAUGAAGAUAUUAUUUGGUGA